rnacentral:rRNA from 1 species
AUUGAACGCUGGCGGCAGGCCUAACACAUGCAAGUCGAGCGGAUGAAGGGAGCUUGCUCCUGGAUUCAGCGGCGGACGGGUGAGUAAUGCCUAGGAAUCUGCCUGGUAGUGGGGGAUAACGUCCGGAAACGGGCGCUAAUACCGCAUACGUCCUGAGUGAGAAAGUGGGGGAGCUUCGGACCUCACGCUAUCAGAUGAUCCUAGGUCGGAUUAGCUAGUUGGUGGGGUAAAGGCCUACCAAGGCGACGAUCCGUAACUGGUCUGAGAGGAUGAUCAGUCACACUGGAACUGAGACACGGUCCAGACUCCUACGGGAGGCAGCAGUGGGGAAUAUUGGACAAUGGGCGAAAGCCUGAUCCAGCCAUGCCGCGUGUGUGAAGAAGGUCUUCGGAUUGUAAAGCACUUUAAGUUGGGAGGAAGGGCAGUAAGUUAAUACCUUGCUGUUUUGACGGUACCAACAGAAUAAGCACCGGCUAACUUCGUG